UUUCAACUGAGACUUUUUGUGUGUCC
rnacentral:piRNA from 1 species